UAAAAUAUAUCAUUUUUGAUUUUUGACAGAAAUCAUAGAGAUUACGGAAACAGAUAAAAGCACACUCCAGAAAAUUAGAGACAAAUAUUACUAUUCAAAAAGAUUCAGAUCGCUACUAAGUGAGGGUCGCCAAAUCGCGAGUCGAAACACCGAUUUUGAGUCCGCGAAAUUCGGAAAUUUGCGUGGUUGCCACAAUACCGAAGUACUGGAAUCCUCAUCGUGAAUGGAAUCUCUAUAUGUAAU
rnacentral:sRNA from 1 species